UACGAGUGGUGCAAGCGUUAUUCGGAAUCAUUGGGCGUAAAGGGUGUGUAGACGGCAUAUUAAGUCAACUGUUAAAUUCUCCGGCCUAACCGGAGGUCAGCUGUAGAAACUGGUGUGCUUGAGGGUGGAAGAGAGAAGUGGAAUUCUCGGAGUAGCGGUAAAAUGCGUAGAUCUCGAGAGGAACACCAAUGGCGAAGGCAGCUUCUUGGUCCAUUUCUGACGUUGAAACACGAAAGCGUGGGGAGCAAACAGG
rnacentral:rRNA from 1 species